rnacentral:lncRNA from 1 species
GGGAGAAGUAAAGAAAGAGUAAUAAGAAGUUGAAGUAAAGAAAGAGAAAUAACAAGGAGAAAUAAGAAAUUGUGUAAGAAAAGAGAAAUUACUUGUAAAACAAAUUGAAAAUCAUAUAGGAAAGCAUAUAUAUUUAAGGGGGAGCAAUUUGUAACAAUGAAAAUGAUCAAAUCAAAAAUUUCUAUCAAAUCUCAGAAUUUGGCACAUAGAAUUUCAGAAUUUGGCACAUACCUUUCACACCUCGAUACAUAAUCUGAAACUCAUGUUUUAUCUCAAAUUUUUGAAGUUUCAUCUUUAAUGAAAUAUAAAUGAAAGGGGGAGCAAUUCAAAAAGUCAAAUUGGAAACAUUUGAAUGAUAUAGGGGGAGACUUCACUCUCAUAUUUGAAAAGCUGAAAUUCAGCAACUUGAACCCUUUUAAAACUGAUUUUAAGAUAAGUAUCAAUAGGCUCAUACUCUAUAUUUUGUAAUCAUCAAAAAGGGGGAGAUUGAGGAUGAUAAUGUUAUUUUGAUGAUUAACAAGCAAUAAUCAAGAGUAUGUUACAAGUUAAUUCGAUACUUCAUUUAUAAGUCUGUUACUCUCAGUAUAUUUGUAUAAAUGCAUUUCAUUGUUUAUUUAGAUGAAUCUAACAUUGAGUUGCAGCAAAGUGUGGAUUGAGUCGACCCCAAGGUUGAUUGGGUCGACUCUGGCACAUCAAGAAAGCAUUUGGCACGCUUCUGCAAAAAUGGCACAGAUGAACAGUAAGUUGGGUCGACCCAAGAAAAGCAUGAGUCGACCCAAACCUCAAGCCUCUCAAAGAC